UGAGCAACCUGCCCUUGACUCCGGAAUAACAGUUGGAAACAGCUGCUAAUACCGGAUACGACCUCCGACGGCAUCAUCUGGAGGUGGAAAGCUCCGACGGUCAAGGAUGGGCUCGCGGCCUAUCAGCUUGUUGGUGAGGUAACGGCUCACCAAGGCUUCGACGGGUANCCUGAGAGGGCGACCGGCCACACUGGGACUGAGAUACGGCCCAGACCUCCUACGGGAGCAGCAGG
rnacentral:rRNA from 1 species